rnacentral:lncRNA from 1 species
AUGAUGAACACAGAGGAAUAUGACACACACACACAGAGCUUAACCAUCAUGGAAUGGAAUGCACAGGAUUGUGGGAUAUCAUGGGCACUCAAGGAUACAUCUAUGCUGACUUCAAAACUCGAUCAGAUGAAGGCAUCUCAGGAGACAGGAAGUGGAGUUGUCAUUGGAUUUGGAUGUGCCUUGAUGCCUUCCUACCUCGGGAAGCUUCCUUCAAAGACAGCAUUAUUCAGCAUUUGGACGCAUCCAUUGAAUCAGUCACACAGUUAUCUUCCUCAUUGCACACUCUUAGUCUAGCAAAGUGUAAGAAUUACAGAAAUUCAGACACUUUGAUCUUCUGAGACAUACAAUAGAUACACAGUGCGUUAACAUACAGACAUAUGUUCCCAUAUUUCACUGAGAGAAAAUGCAGGAAACGCCUCUCUCACAUAUGCAACAGUUCCUUCUCAUCCCCGUCCUCCCUCCACUUGGUUCACUCAGAAUGGACAAUAGUAUUAUGUUGUACACAAAUGAAAGUAAUAUUUACAGUCAUGUUUGGUGUCAUUUGAAUUGUCUCAGGGCGACUGGUACAAUAGUCUCAAUCUUACAAAAGUACACUAAAAGAUAAUACAGAUUAUCUAAGAGUUAAGGGAUAUUUUGCUUACUGUAAUGGGAGUGCCCUUUCUCAGGGUCCUCCAUGUAAAUUACCUUCUGUUCCCAUUGAGCCACCCAGGUAUGGGACCUGGCUUAAUGCAAAUUCCAAUUGUUAGUUCCUGUCUCCAUCUUGGGGGAUGUUUGUCUUGGUCUGCGGUACUUAAAGAAAUGUUGCAAAAGGAUCAGGGCGAUUCUGUAGCCAGAAAGCCCGUAGUAUGGUGUGUGUCUCUGCACUCCACACUAUGUAUUUUCCUGAAGUCAGGUAUGCAUCCUUUACUCUUAGAUUUAUCCUUGAGAAUUUGAUGUCUUGUAUUGAUUUGAUAACUUGAAUUGGCAUAAUACAUAUUUACCUGACUGAUAAUAAAUUGUUACAUUUGAUUCUAUUCUGUUUUACUCUGUAAUUAUUGACUAAAAUUCAGUUGAUGGAGCAUAGGGCACACCAACUGUAUCUUUAGAGAUUCGGCUAACACUUGGUAUUAGUUCAAGUGUACUUAGGGCUUAUAGGGAAUUUCCAUUUAGGUCAACUGGAUGUUGUUCAACCAACCUAAAUAGGGUGAGCCUAACCUCUGUUUACUGUAAUAUUACUGUAGCUAAGUGUACAUGGGGAAACCAUGGCAUGACCAUACCAAAGCUACUAUCAGGGAAAGUAAUGUUUGUUGGCUUAUAUCUAUAGUAGUGGUCGUGACCUCUGACUAGAAAUAAUGUUGCUUUAUUCAAGUGUGUACAAAUCUAUGGGGGUUAAUUAAAAGUACUUUUAGAAUGAGCAAGCAUAGGAGCGGCCGUCUAAAGUAUUAGCCAAUUACCUCUGUCUAAUAACCAAGACUGACGAGAAUGUGACCGUAAGAUACACUAAGGCCAAAGCGAUAUCUUUGAGCGACAUGAGCACUCGUAUGAACAAGUACAAUAAUAUUAAAGAAUAAAUGGAAUAAUCAAAUGUAAAAAUAAUAAUACUUAGAGACAGACAAACAACCAAUUUGCCUUUCAACCUAAAUUCGAGGUCAUUCUAAAAUGGAGUCAGAUUAGAUCAUUAAAUGGAGUCAGAUUUGAGUUUAACUUAAAUUGAAUAACUUUGCAUGCUGAAAAGACCGAACACACAAGAAACCUUCAGCCAGCACUGGAUACCUUCCUUGGAUCGAGUGCGUGGACCUUACAAAAGCAUUGUAGGCAAUGUAUCCUUAAAGCUGAACAGCAUGAUUUAAACUGUUUCUGUGGUUAUUAAAAACAAUUAAAAAAUUCAUGAAUCACAUUGCAAACCUUAUUAAACAUACCAGAUGUUAACUCAAAACAUUAUUAUUAUUUUUUUUUUAUUAAUAAUUAAAACCAAGGUUGGAAAUUCAAAAUACAGUAUGGAUUAGUUUGGAGAUUAUGCCUUAUCAGCACAACAGCAUUUUAUUUAUUUACUUAUUUUAUUAUUAAAUCUGAUAUUUUCCCCCUGAUGUGUAGUUAAUGUGCUGAGCUUAAUUUGAGCUUAAUGAGAAUGACGUGCUUUGACGCCACUAGAGAAAGUAUAUCACUGUUGUUGUGUGUAAUAUGUGGGAGGAGGUCAUAACGGGUCACCAGAAAACGAAGUGAAAAUAGAAAAAUAACGACGCCAUUUCAUUAUUUUUUUUUAUUAAUAAUUAAACAAGGUUGAAAUUCAAAUACAGUAUGGAUUAGUUUGGAGAUUAUGCCUUAUCAGCACAACUAGCAUUUUAUUUAUUUACUUAUUUUAUUAUUAAAUCUGAUAUUUUCCCCCUGAUGUGUAGUUAAUGUGCUGAGCUUAAUUUGAGCUUAAUGAGAAUGACGUGCUUUGACGCCACUAGAGAAAGUAUAUCACUGUUGUUGUGUGUAAUAUGUGGGAGGAGGUCAUAACGGGUCACCAGAAAACGAAAGUGAAAAUAGAAAAAUAAACGACGCCAUUUCAAGGCUUUAAAAUUGUAUUACUCUCUUAAAACGGUGCAACGGUGCAGUAUUUCGUGGUAAGUUCAAAACUUAUUCUUAGUGUAACCAAUGUAUUCAUACAAAAAUGAGGUGCAAAAAUGAGGUGUGUUUUUUCGAGGGUUAAUCGUUUAAUAUUUUUUGAUUGCCGUUUUGACUGUCUGCUUGUAUAUUUUAUUAUUGUUCGGUAGCCUCUCUUUAAUGUAGGCUAUUUUCCCCGAUUUAAUCCGUUACUGGGAAAUUUAUCUCAUGUUAUAUUUGUAUUAUUUUGUCAUCAUCAUUUUAUUUUAAGGAGUUAAAAAUGGCCCUUAUCAACAUUGAUUUACAUAUUCCAUAACAUUAUUUUGAUAGUUUGAAAGUUUUGGGCGUUUUUUGUGAGGUUUUGGGCAGGAAAUCAUCCAUCCAAUCUUGCAACACUGCUGAUAAACAAACACAGACCGGAAGAUAACGGGCCAGGCGCGUGCGUCCGAUGAAAUUGUCUAUAUACUGUGUGUGUGUGUGUGUUGUUGUUUUUUUCUGUAAAAUGUAGUUUUAUUCAAAUAUUUAUUCAAAAUAAAUUGAUUAAUUCUACCAGACUACAUUAAGUUGUACCAGUGAAAAUAAUCUUUUCACACUUGUGAUCGAUGUCACACCGUCUGUUUUCACCAUUUUAAGUUCUGGUUUCUCAUCUUUGCCUCCAUGUCAUGCAAUACAAUCAUUUAAUUCACAGGUAACCAUGGAUUAUUCCUUACACAUUCUAAAUACUAUAUGUCAUGUUUUCGGUAAUGGAAGGCACCCAUUACUGGUUUAGUUUAUCAUAUAUACAUACUAUCUGCUAGUUUAUUUGAUACCUAAUAAUAUCAGUAUUAUCCUUCUCUAGUUUAUCAUAUAUACAUACUAUCUGCAGUUUAUUUGAUCCUAAUAAUAUCAGAUUAUCCUUCUCUGAUAAGAACCAGAAAAUGCUUUUAAUCGCAUUAUAAUCAGAUAAUUCUUUCCACCUGUAGUCCCCAAUGGCCAACAAACUCUGUUUAGUCUGUUUUUAGGAAAGUUACAACUUUAGUGUUCAGCAUAUUGUUUCAGAAAUGCAAACAAUUAAAUAUUGAAAUUUGAACUUAAUUUGGUUGGUUUUAUGUUGUUAAAGUUAACUUUAAGAAAGAAAUAUGACUGUUUGUAAAAUGAAAUUAUUAAAUUAGUUUUUUAAAUUAUUAUUUAUUUCAGUCAGAUGGUCAUUUUACACCCAGAUGGUGCAUCUUACCCACUGACUCGACUCGGGUCAACUUACCCCAAACCCGGGGCAAACUGAGCCAUGGGAACACUUUUUCAUAAAAAGCCAUAUUUUUAGAACCCUUUGUCAUAGAUACAUUCUGAUCAUUUAAAAUGAUAGGAAUACUUUCAUUUGGAUAGGAUAGGAUAGAUACUUUCAUUGCACUUCUGCAUCAUUUUCCCUUAUCUUGAGGACCACAUAAGUAAAAAAUGGCUAAUCUUACACUGUAAAACCCGACAAGUAACUUAACUCAAACUGUUUGAGUAAACAGAUUGCCUUGAUUUAAACCAUGAAAGUUUUAAAACUUUGGAAUUAAGUAAUUAAGUGAUUAACUAAGUGCUAAUUGAGCAUUAGUGAUGAACAGCUGCUGUUAACAAACAGAAUCACUGAAAGAAAAGAGAAACACAAG